UACGUAGGGUCCGAGCGUUGUCCGGAAUUACUGGGCGUAAAGCGCGCGCAGGCGGCCCGCGAGGUGUCACGUGAAAGCCCCGGGCUCAACCCGGGAGGGUCGUGGCAAACCGGCGGGCUUGAGGCCGGUAGAGGUGGGUGGAACUCCUGGUGGAGUGGUGAAAUGCGUAGAGAUCAGGAAGAACACCAGUGGCGAAGGCGGCCGGGUGGGGGUGCCCUGACGCUGAGGCGCGAAAGCGUGGGGAGCGAACCGG
rnacentral:rRNA from 1 species